rnacentral:lncRNA from 1 species
CCAAGAUUCAGAAUGCAAAAGACCCUUAGAAAUCAUCCAGUUCAGCUUCCCUUGUCCACCCAUUCUCACCUAGACUACCCCAUACCCUUGUAAGAGAGAGAAAGCAGAGUGGCUGGAGCUGACUGCCGAAUGGUGAUUGUGAGUUUGCCCCAUUCUGCCAGAUGGACCUACUUCCUCCUAUUGCCUGUGCCCCCCUGGCCACACUGGCUGGGAAGGACUAGCAGACUCUUAUCCUUGGGGCCUGGACUAUUUAUGUUGCUACAGUUGCACAGCUGAUUGUGACCUCCUUUGCAUUUCUUUCCGGGGUUGCCUGAAUUUCUUAUUUUUUACAACUUGAUAAUCCAUCACACAGGUGGUAAGUACCAGUCAGAAUUAACCUUCAAAAGCCAUGGUGCCAUUGCCAUUGUAAAGGUUUCAGAGCUAGUAAAUGAUGACCACGAGCUCAUAUGGCUCCCGGUUCACUACUACUCCUACCAUACACAUCUGUAGAUCUGCAGCCUUGUUUUGGGCAUCUAGAGGUAUCAGUGCAUGUGAUGGGAGAAGGAAAUGGCAAACCACUUUAGUAUCUUUGCUAAGAAAACCCCAAACGGGAUCAUGAAGAAUUGGACACAAAUGAAAUGACUGAACAAUAGGUCUUGUCAUAACUGACCUGCUACCCUCCUCUAUCUUGAGAAACAGGAAGAAUAACAGUUAUUAGCAAACACAGCUUUAAUUCAGAGAUCAUGCCAGGAAUUUUAUAAGUGAAGCAUCAGACCUUGACGGACUAAUUACAGUUAAAUUUGUUAUGUUACUGUGCUGUUAGGGUAAGAAGUAUCUAGAGUCAAAGCAAAGGCAACCAAGUAUUAUUUCUAAUAUAAAUUAAAUUUGGCUCAGUCCCAAUUUCAACAUAUGCUGGUUCAGCGAAUCCAGUAAGUUUUUUUGGUUCAUCUGGGGCAGGAAUAGAAGAAUAUCAAAAAAGCAGUCAUUUGUCCCUGAGAAAAGACCUUGACCUUUACUGACCACUCCAUUUCUCCUUUGUACAUAAUAGUUGUUGAAAUGAUUACCAUAACCAAUUUGAAAUGGUUUCCAAUAGUAAUCAUAGGUUAAAAAUGACAAAAAGACACUAGUUAACAUAGGACAAGGGGUCUGAAAAUGUGACUAAAUCCCAUAUUUGUAAGGAAUAACCCUGGAAGUGGAAAUGCCAUAAUCUGGUGGUGUAAAUGAUAUCCUUGGGAAAUGACCAUCUGUGGGGUUUACAUAUGGCCAAAGAGGCCUUAGGCCAGGAUUGGGGGAUCCUCAGCCUGAAGAAUGAACACACCUAUUCUGCUACUCCUACCACUAUUAGAAAAUGGAAUAUUUUGCCUGAAGAAGAAUUCAUUCAAUGUGAAAGGCUGUCAAUUAGCGGUGUUCAUCUCUGGAGAGUACAACUAGUAUUGAUAAGUGGAAACAUGUUUGCACUUUGUAUGAGAAUGAAUUUAACAGCCAUACAAAAAUUGAAUGGGAUGUAUUUUGUGCUAGUGAAUUUCUUAGUGAUAUUUAAAGGAAGGUAGGAUGCUGUAGAAGGGACGUGUAGAUUGAAUAUGGACUAAAUCUGAUGACUCCUUAAAUGUGUUCUGAGAUUCUAUGGUUUGGUUUGGUUUGGUUUUUGUUUUUUUUGGAAAAAAGUGUGAGCCCAUGUGUCUAUAGUUUAAUCACUUCCCCAUUCUCCUUUACAUCCCCAUACAUGUUCAUCAUUCUCAGCAGGGAAAAAUAUAAGUGCUAAUUUAAAAGUUCCCUUCAGAUAUACUUUGGCAGCACAGGUACAGAAUGGGAUGAUUGAAAUGUUCAUAGGAUCUUCAGAAUGGACUUUGAACUCGAAGUCUGAGGACUUUUCCCACUCUCACUCUGGGGUCAAUAAUGAAACCAUUUCUGAAAAAUGGGGAUGGCAUAGCAGAUAGUGAGCCAGCCUCAGUGCCCCAAAGAACUCCCUGGUUUGGGCACCGCGAUCUGUCACCAGAAUAUUUUAGGGAAGGUAUACUUAUUCAGCAGAAAAUAAGAUGGGUAAUAAGAAGCUUAGCUUAUGAUGUACUCAGUUCCCAGCCAUCUCUUCAUUAUGCAGCCUACAUUCAAGCCAUCAUCUUUGUUCCUUCCCCCUUCUGUGUUAUCCUCUGGACUCCACCUCUCUGAUAACUAAGCUCUUGCUUUAUUUUGGUGGCCAUUGAGUUUCAUAUUUUGUAUCCCUCCCUUUCACUUUUGCUCUCUCCCUUAUGCC